UUGGGUCUUUUGAUGUUUGGCCUUCAGUUGAUAUCUCUGAAUUGAUGUCCUCUUCCCAAGGAGAGACAUGUUCAUUUGGAAGCGAACACUCAAGUUACUGCACCAGCAAACUUGCAAAUUCAAGCACUCAGCUUUCAUCAACUUCCCUUUAUUCUGAUUCACAAAUGUGCGGGGUAUGCUCAAAGGUAUUGAAUGAUAGAUCUUUGUGGA
rnacentral:lncRNA from 1 species